rnacentral:rRNA from 1 species
UACGGAGGAUGCGAGCGUUAUCCGGAUUUAUUGGGUUUAAAGGGUGCGCAGGCGGCGUGUCAAGCAAGCGGUAAAAUAGCGGGGCUCAACCCCGUCGAGCCGUUUGAACUGGCGCGCUUGAGUUCAGGCGAGGUAGGCGGAAUUCGUGGUGUAGCGGUGAAAUGCAUAGAUAUCACGAAGAACUCCGAUUGCGAAGGCAGCUUACCAGUCUGCGACUGACGCUCAGGCACGAAAGUGUGUGUAUCGAACAGG